AAGAGUAGAAACCUUUUGGUGAGAUGGCAUAGGCUUGCAGGCCCCUUGCGAGCCAGGGUCAUUCAAGGACUGCAGUGAGAGUUAGGAAAGCCAGGCAAACCUGAGCAAGGAGGAGAAAAUGUUCUCUUCCCCUUAUCUCAUGUUGCAAGUUCUGAAUGCCUGGAUCUGCAAGAAGUGGCUCUUGCCUAGAUUAGAGGCGUCCCUCCUUAGGACAAGAACAUACUGUUCCUUGAAGAAGGGUGGCUGGGAGAAUUCUUUAACUCUGCAAACAUAAACAGAAUACAUACUGUUCUUGAUAAAUUUUGUGUAUCUUUCUUCAAGGAUGUUAGUUUAAUCCCAUUAUGUGUGAAGGUACAUAUUGUUAUGCUUACCUGAUUGCUGCAAGUAUAUAGCUGUGUGGGAAAUAAACAGCAGCAUGCAGUUGCAAGUGCUGCCUUUGCUCUGCAUCCCCUGUGUCCCGGUUCUUUCGCGACCCUUACCCAGGGACCCCAACGCACUAGACGUUGACAAUUGGCGCCCGAACAGGGACCCUGAAGGACGUACAGGAAGGAGGAUGGACGGACCUGUUCCUGGCUCCCCGCGAGAUGGAUCCGGUCGAGGACCAAUUCGCACGGCACCGUAUCCCGUCAGACGAUGACUGGGGAAUUCGGACCAGGAUGAGCUUCCAAUACAGGCCAUGGCACACCUGAAAAUUUAUUUUUGGCUUGCACACCUGAAAAUUUAUUUUUGGCUAUGUGUGCCUUACUUACUGUAUCAUCUUCAGCCGAGGCGACAAAUGAUACUGCCGCGGAGCUGAUGGAAUGAGUCAAUGGUGAAUUAUCAACUGAUGGCCUGGGGAGAUGGCGGCAUUGCAGACCCUCCCAUAUCACAUCAGAAAUUUCCUGAUCAUAUUCAAACGCACUUAUGGAAAAUUGCAGCUGCGCUUAAGACUGUUAGAAUUUACAAUGGAACUUUUUCUGGCACAGCGAACUCUGCAUCAACUUAUAAUUUCACUAUUUCUAAAGAAAUGAAUGUAACUGCUUGUGUGCCUUUACCAUAUCUAUUUCUGGUUGGGAAUUUUAGUUUCAAUAAUGGAAUUAACUGUAUCAAAUGCCGACUAUACUCCUGUAUCAAUAACUCUAUAGAAUUUGAAUCGGGAUAUUCUCUUAUGAUUUUGCAACAACGUUCUCAUAUUUGGCUUCCGGUAAAUUUAGAACGACCGUGGGCGCAAAAUCCCGUAGACGCCUUGGUUUUAGAAUUUUUCAAGAAGGUAUCAUUCAGAGUUUGGGGCAUACUGCUGGAGGAAUGGGCAUUAUAUUGCUAGUUGUUAUCUUAUGCUUUACGCUGCUACAUUUCUGCUAUAUAAAACCGUCCCAGAGUUCUAUGGCCACCCUUUGGAAAGCACUUUUGCUGAAACAAAAGAAAAAAGGGGGAAAUGAGAUGGCAUAGGCUUGCAGGCCCCUUGCGAGCCAGGGUCAUUCAAGGACUGCAGUGAGAGUUAGGAAAGCCAGGCAAACCUGAGCAAGGAGGAGAAAAUGUUCUCUUCCCCUUAUCUCAUGUUGCAAGUUCUGAAUGCCUGGAUCUGCAAGAAGUGGCUCUUGCCUAGAUUAGAGGCGUCCCUCCUUAGGACAAGAACAUACUGUUCCUUGAAGAAGGGUGGCUGGGAGAAUUCUUUAACUCUGCAAACAUAAACAGAAUACAUACUGUUCUUGAUAAAUUUUGUGUAUCUUUCUUCAAGGAUGUUAGUUUAAUCCCAUUAUGUGUGAAGGUACAUAUUGUUAUGCUUACCUGAUUGCUGCAAAUAUAUAGCUGUGUGGGAAAUAAACAGCAGCAUGCAGUUGCAAGUGCUGCCUUUGCUCUGCA